rnacentral:rRNA from 1 species
AUUGAACGCUGGCGGCAGGCUUAACACAUGCAAGUCGAGCGGGGGAAGGUAGCUUGCUACUGGACCUAGCGGCGGACGGGUGAGUACUGCUUAGGAAUCUGCCUAUUAGUGGGGGACAACAUCUCGAAAGGGAUGCUAAUACCGCAUACGUCCUACGGGAGAAAGCAGGGGAACUUCGGCCCUUGCGCUAAUAGAUGAGCCUAAGUCGGAUUAGCUAGUUGGUUGGGUAAAGGCCUACCAAGGCGACGAUCUGUAGCGGGGCUGGGGGGAUGAUCCGCCACACUGGGACUGAGACACGGCCCAGACUCCUACGGGAGGCAGCAGUGGGGAAUAUUGGACAAUGGGGGGAACCCUGAUCCAGCCAUGCCGCGUGUGUGAAGAAGGCCUUAUGGUUGUAAAGCACUUUAAGCGAGGAGGAGGCUACUCUAGUUAAUACCUAGGGAUAGUGGACGUUACUCGCAGAAUAAGCACCGGCUAACUCUGUGCCAGCCGCCGCGGUAA